rnacentral:rRNA from 1 species
GUCGAACGGCAGCAUGAUCUAGCUUGCUAGAUUGAUGGCGAGUGGCGAACGGGUGAGUAAUACAUCGGAACGUGCCCUGUAGUGGGGGAUAACUAGUCGAAAGAUUAGCUAAUACCGCAUACGACCUGAGGGUGAAAGUGGGGGACCGCAAGGCCUCAUGCUAUAGGAGCGGCCGAUGUCUGAUUAGCUAGUUGGUGGGGUAAAGGCCCACCAAGGCGACGAUCAGUAGCUGGUCUGAGAGGACGAUCAGCCACACUGGGACUGAGACACGGCCCAGACUCCUACGGGAGGCAGCAGUGGGGAAUUUUGGACAAUGGGCGAAAGCCUGAUCCAGCAAUGCCGCGUGUGUGAAGAAGGCCUUCGGGUUGUAAAGCACUUUUGUCCGGAAAGAAAUGGCUCUGGUUAAUACCUGGGGUCGAUGACGGUACCGGAAGAAUAAGGACCGGCUAACUACGUGCCAGCAGCCGCGGUAAUACGUAGGGUCCAAGCGUUAAUCGGAAUUACUGGGCGUAAAGCGUGCGCAGGCGGUUGUGCAAGACCGAUGUGAAAUCCCCGAGCUUAACUUGGGAAUUGCAUUGGUGACUGCACGGCUAGAGUGUGUCAGAGGGGGGUAGAAUUCCACGUGUAGCAGUGAAAUGCGUAGAGAUGUGGAGGAAUACCGAUGGCGAAGGCAGCCCCCUGGGAUAACACUGACGCUCAUGCACGAAAGCGUG